GGCUUUCUGGACUGCAACUGACACUGAGGCACGAAAGCGUGGGUAGCAAACAGGAUAGAUACCCUGGUAGUCCACGCUGUAAACGAUGAGUACUAGGUGUCGGGGGUUACCCCCCUCGGUGCGUAGCUAACGCAUUAAAGUACUCCGCCUGGGGAGUACGCACGCAAGUGUGAAACUCAAAGGAAUUGACGGGGACCCGCACAAGUAGCGGAGCAUGUGGUUUAAUUCGAAGCAACGCGAAGAACGUUACAUAAGCUUGACAUCCCUUAGACCGGUGUUUAAUCACACCUUCCCUUCGGGGCUGAGGUGACAGGUGGUGCAUGGUUGUCGUCAGCUCGUGUCGUGAGAUGUUGGGUUAAGUCCCGCAACGAGCGCAACCCUUGUCUUUAGUUGCCAGCAUUCAGUUGGGCACUCUAGAGAGACUGCCAGGGAUAACCUGGAGGAAGGUGGGGAUGACGUCAAAUCAUCAUGCCCCUUAUGCUUAGGGCUACACACGUGCUACAAUGGGUGGUACAGAGGGUUGCCAAACCGUGAGGUGGAGCUAAUCCCUUAAAGCCAUUCUCAGUUCGGAUUGUAGGCUGAAACUCGCCUACAUGAAGCUGGAGUUACUAGUAAUCGCAGAUCAGAAUGCUGCGGUGAAUGCGUUCCCGGGUCUUGUACACACCGCCCGUCACACCAUGGGAGUCGGAAACACCCGAAGCCGAUUAUCCAACCGCAAGGAGGAAGUCGUCGAAGGUGGCGUCGAUAACUGGGGUGAAGUCUUAACAAGGUAGCCGUA
rnacentral:rRNA from 1 species